CGUGAAAAGGGGAUUAGGUUUUAUCAACGUUGUGACUAUUGACCUUACUCAAAGAGCUUUCUUCUUCCCCUCUCAUAGACUCAGCGGCGCGAUGACUAUCUUCGAUCUCUUUCUCCGGCAAAACAAAACACGACGCCGCCAUGAACUGAACUAAGAGCAUCUCUCCCCCUCGCCUCUCAUCUCAAACUCAAACCCUAAUUAGGAUCUCUCUCACUAACCCUAAAUCUAUGAAGCUCCAUUGAAUGCUCUAAGAAGCAUGAAUCAAGUGAAAGCUAUAGGGUUAUCAUUCAAUAGAUCUCGGGCAACGUCAUAGAAUCAAGAAAAGAAGAAAAAGAUAGCGAUUUCUCACACCACAUAGCGAUUUCCCUCUGGGUUCCAAUAUGAGCUCUCGGACGAGCAGGCAGACUGCUGUCAGAAGUUACCGGCGUAGGAAGGCAGUUUUGGACCUUGACCAUAACCGAAUGCCGGCUGGUGAGAAUCGUGAGCAGGAAGGACCUUCAACUCAGUUGGAGCCUCAAGUAGUCGAAACUCAAGCCAACAACAACCAGCAACGACCCCCGUUUAUUGAUGUGGAGGCCAUUGAUGAUGAUGUUAUUGAAUCUUCCCCUAGGGCCUUUGCUGAGGUUUAAUUAUGAUCUCAACCUUGAAGGCUUAGGUGAAACGCGACAUCAGAACCCGCCAUAGCAGAGAGCUUACCAAUGAGGUUUGAUAACUUGACAUUUUAAUCAGCGUCGAGGAUUUUGGUGUCUUGUCCAAACGAAUUUAAGGUCUUCGCUCAUGGACUGGUUUUGACUGAGUUAUGUUAUCAAACACUCUAGUUCUGAUUUUCAACAGUUCAAGAGAGAAUUACCGGUUCAUUUUCAAAUAACUUUGCCAGGCAAUCGUGAUUGACUCUGCUACUGAGCCUCUGCAAGUGUUACAAAUUGUUCUCCAAAGGAAUAAACCUUCACUUGAGCAAAUAAGUAAAAGAGUGAAGUAAAUUGUAUCAAAUGGGAUCCUACUGGUUCACUACUGGCCUCGUGUUCAGACGAUAAAUAGUGUUGCGAAUACAAUGAACAAUAUUGUUGAUAUUUUGAAUUGUAUAUGUUGAUAUUUUGAAUUGUAUAUUUCAGGGUUGUAAUUAGAAUGCAAUAGAUAUUCUAUAUAAACGUAUCAAAUUUAUAAUGGGUCACAUACUAGUACAUUACAAUUGUGAUUAUUUUUAUUUAUUGUA